AGCGAACGCUGGCGGCAGGCUUAACACAUGCAAGUCGAGCGGGCAUAGCAAUAUGUCCGCGGCAGACGGGUGAGUAACGCGUGGGAACGUACCUUUUGGUUCGGAACAACACAGGGAAACUUGUGCUAAUACCGGAUAAGCCCUUACGGGGAAAGAUUUAUCGCCGAAAGAUCGGCCCGCGUCUGAUUAGCUAGUUGGUGAGGUAAUGGCUUACCAAGGCGACGAUCAGUAGCUGGUCUGAGAGGAUGAUCAGCCACAUUGGGACUGAGACACGGCCCAAACUCCUACGGGAGGCAGCAGUGGGGAAUAUUGGACAAUGGGCGCAAGCCUGAUCCAGCCAUGCCGCGUGAGUGAUGAAGGCCCUAGGGUUGUAAAGCUCUUUUGUGCGGGAAGAUAAUGACGGUACCGCAAGAAUAAGCCCCGGCUAACUUCGUG
rnacentral:rRNA from 1 species